CGGCGGCUUCUUCUCCGGAAAGCAUCCCUCUUCAUCCCUUCCUCAGUGUAGCUUCUCCUGCGGACGGCGUUCCGAAAGCAGCGGGUUCCAACAGAGGAAGCCGGCUGCCCCUUCUUCUCCGGUGAAUUUCUUCUGCUUCCAUCACUGAGCAGUGUUGUGGCUUCCUGCGGACGGUGUUCCGAAGGCAGGAACUCCAGCAACUUCAGUCUACAAUUUCGGCAGAAGCAAGUGGCAUCUCAGUGUGUCAAUUUACAGUACAUCAUUGUUCUUUCUUAAUUUUGUGUGGCUGUUGAGAGUUGUAAUCAAAGGUUCUGUCAUUGUGUUGCUGUCCACUAGGGCUGGUGUUCCAAAUCCGGGUCUCCGUGUGAUGACGGAGGUAGUCGAUUGAUGGUUGAUCGCAGGAGAGUGGUUUGGAUAGUUUAAGUUUACUUUCCUUUUGAAUGUUUCAUGUUCAGUUAAUUUAGUUUACUUUCUUGUUCAACUUAGGUGUUCUUUUCUUAUCUAUGUUUGAUUGUUUAGUUUUGUAUUUCAUUUAUGCAUGAUUGUUAAUCUUGUCUCAUAGUGUGACAAUGUGGUGCAAGUUUAUCAAUUGUGUAUAACUAGGUUUUGGUUAAUCGUUGUUAAGGUGUUUAGUUUAAUUGCUUUUGUUGUAUGUGAAAUUGAUUGUCAAGUCUGGCUAGUGUUUGGAAAUAUUUAAACCCAAACUAUAUGGUAGUUCACUCAUCUAAGAUUAUAUUUGGCAAAAUAUAGAUUCCAUAAUUUUGAUGUUUUCAGCAUUUGUUUUUGGAUGUAGGUGCUGCCUUUUGAACUGCACUUGCUUGCCACAAAGCAUCAGAUGUUUCAUCUGAUUCCAACACCUCAGGGAGCUUUUAUGUACUCAAUGACAUAUUCCGUCUCAACGUGCUCAUUACAAAGAUUCUUGGAUACACUUGGAGGAAUGAUAGCUCGGUCUUAUCAUCUGUUGGCUAUAAACGAAGAUUUCUAUUAGUGCAUAUGGAAUGAUACUUUCUGGAUUCAUUUUUAUUUAAGGCAUUCUUUCCUUUAAUGGUCCCUUUUAAAAUUUAAUGUAUGACUUACUCCUUAGCAUCAUAUGGAGUGUGUGGGAACGUUUGCAUUGGAUUGUACC